UUCCGAGGGUCCACGCCCCCGAAUUGGCGAU
rnacentral:sRNA from 1 species